rnacentral:rRNA from 1 species
AACGAACGCUGGCGGCAGGCCUAACACAUGCAAGUCGAACGAAGUCUUCGGACUUAGUGGCGCACGGGUGAGUAACACGUGGGAAUAUACCUUUCGGUGGGGAAUCACAGCGGGAAACUGCUGCUAAUACAGCAUACGCCAUUAGGGGGAAAGAUUUAUCGCCGAGAGAUUAGCCGGCGUCCGAUUAGGUAGUUGGUGAGGUAACGUCUCAACAAGCCUUCGAUCGGUAGCUGGACUGAGGGGAUGAGCAGCCACACUGGGACUGAGACACGGCACAGACUCCUACGGGAGGCAGCCGUGGGGAAUAUUGGACAAUUGACGCAAGCCUAAUCCAGCCAUGCCGCGGGGGUGAUGAAGGCCUUAGGGUUGUAAAGCUCUUUCGACGUGGACGAUGAUGACGGUACCCGGAGAAGAAGCCCCGGCUAACUUCGUGCCAGCAGCCGCAGUAACAC